rnacentral:rRNA from 1 species
CGGCGAGUGAAGCGGCAACAGCUCAAAUUUGAAAUCUGGGGUCUUGCGGCCUCCGAGUUGUAGUUUGCAGAGGGAGCCUCGGAGGGCUUGUCGGUCCAAGUGCCUUGGAACAGGAUACCGCAGAGGGUGAGAGUCCCGUAUCCGGCCGACGUAGCGCUCCGUGUGAGGCCUCUUCGACGAGUCGAGUUGUUUGGGAAUGCAGCUCCAAGCGGGUGGUAAAUUCCAUCUAAAGCUAAAUACUGGCCAGAGACCGAUAGCGAACAAGUAGAGUGAUCGAAAGAUGAAAAGCACUUUGAAAAGAGAGUCAAACAGUACGUGAAAUUGUUGAAAGGGAAGCGCAUGGGGGCAGACUUGGCCGCGGGGUUCAGGGUGUCUUUUGUGGCGCCUGUACUUCCCCGCGGACAGGCCAGCAUCGGUUCCGGGGGCCGGACAAAGGCGACGGGAAGGUGGCUCUCCUCGGAGAGUGUUAUAGCCCGACGUGCAAUGCGGCCACCUGGGACCGAGGACCGCGCCUUGUGCAAGGAUGCUGGCGUAAUGGCCUCAUGCGGCCCGUCUUGAAACACGGACCAAGGAGUCUAACAUCUAUGCGAGUGUUUGGGUGAUUGAAGCCCGGACGCGCAAUGAAAGUGAACGGAGGUGGGAGCGUCUUUUGCUGGGCGCGCACCAUCGACCGAUCCGGACGUUUUCUGAAGGAUUUGAGUAAGAGCAUAGCUGUUGGGACCCGAAAGAUGGUGAACUAUGCGUGAAUAGGGUGAAGCCAGAGGAAACUCUGGUGGAGGCUCGCAGCGGUUCUGACGUGCAAAUCGAUCGUCAAAUUUGCGUAUAGGGGCGAAAGACUAAUCGAACCAUCUAGUAGCUGGGU